rnacentral:lncRNA from 1 species
GAAUGGACUGCGCGUGAUGCCAUCCCGCUGCUUCGUGUUCUGGGCGGCCAGUUGUCUGCAGCCACUGCGCAGCACUUCCUAGAGCAGGGAGCAGUCAAUGGUCUGCGGGACUCCCACGCCCUGAAUGUGGACAUGCGAGUUCCAUGCAGGUCUGCUCUCAGUCCAGGCAGGAGGCUCACUAAGCCCAGUGCACACACCUGGUGGGUCAGGCCUGUUCCCAAGAGUGGACAUGUUCUGUCUCAGGGGAUCCACGCACAUGUGCUCUGACACCUGCUGUCUGCCAGCGUGAUGAGGACGAGGCCUCUGACGUCUUGAUCAGUAAAACCCAGCUGAUCCUGAGUCCCUGUCAGAUGGACAGGGUUCAGUCCCAUUUAACCAAGCUUAGGAGGUACUCAGUACUCAGUCCUAAGGAGAGACAGCUGCUCAGGAGGGACCUGGCCUCCUGGGUUCCCCAGCUGAGACCCCAAGGCCUCUGUGGUGAGUAUGGCUGUGGCCUGGCCUGGGCUACAGCAUGACCUGGACACAUGAGGAACCAGCUCUCCAUGGGGCUUUUCCUCUCACGAAGCAGCAGCAAUGGCUUUCCGUGUUCUUUGCUCUCUCAUUACAGGGCUGAGGCUGGACACAGAUCACAUGGGAGGCCACACUGUGGAGAGCUUUCACACAGACCAGGCAGGAGAGCACGUUGAGCUGCGCUGGUAUAGACACUGAACCGUGUGUUCCUCUUGCUUUAAUUCUGAGGAGGAGACACUUUUUGUGCUCUGACUCUGGUGUGUGAAAGCCCAGAACUUUGCUGGCGCUCAGCUCUCCUUGGAGGCUGGGCUUCUAUUGUAGCAGCCCGUGCUGCAUGGCGGAACGUUCUCGGCCCCACCUCCGGGGCCAGCAGGUCUUGUUUCCUGUAGGGAGUUGAACCCCGAUGUCUACUCCACUUCUGACCCAUGGGGCUGAACCCAUCUCCUGAGUAACCAUUGUGCGGACAUCUGGGCUGCAUAGGACCUUGAGCCAAGCAGGUGGGGGGGUUUGGCUCCAAUUGCAGCUGGGGAGAUGUGUGUGCAGUUAGCUGGGGCGAGGCAACGACAGGGCUGGGGAAGGCCAUGGAGGCUCAGGGGGCAGCCCUGCAUCUCUGUGGGCUUGGG